rnacentral:rRNA from 1 species
AUUGAACGCUGGCGGCAGGCUUAACACAUGCAAGUCGAGCGGGGUGAUGGUGCUUGCACUAUCACUUAGCGGCGGACGGGUGAGUAAUGCUUAGGAAUCUGCCUAUUAGUGGGGGACAACAUUUCGAAAGGAAAGCUAAUACCGCAUACGUCCUACGGGAGAAAGCAGGGGAUCUUCGGACCUUGCGCUAAUAGAUGAGCCUAAGUCGGAUUAGCUAGUUGGUGGGGUAAAGGCCUACCAAGGCGACGGUCCGUAGCGGGUAGGAGAGGAUGAACCGACACACGGUGACUGAGACACGGCCAAGAAUCCUACGGGAGGCAGCAGUGGGGAAUAUUGGAAAAUGGGCGGAAGCCUGACCCAGCCAUGCCGCGUGUGUGAAGAAGGCCUUAUGGUUGUAAAGCACUUUAAGCGAGGAGGAGGCUACUUUAGUUAAUACCUAGAGAUAGUGGACGUUACUCGCAGAAUAAGCACCGGCUAACUCUGUGCCAGCCGCCGCCGUAAUAC